CCUACGGGUGGCAGCAGUGGGGAAUAUUGGACAAUGGGGGCAACCCUGAUCCAGCCAUGCCGCGUGUAUGAAGAAGGCCCUCGGGUUGUAAAGCACUUUCAGUGAGGAAGAACGCCUGGUGGUUAAUACCCAUCAGGAAAGACAUCACUCACAGAAGAAGCACCGGCUAACUCCGUGCCAGCAGCCGCGGUAAUACGGAGGGUGCGAGCGUUAAUCGGAAUUACUGGGCGUAAAGCGCGCGUAGGUGGCUUGAUAAGCCGGUUGUGAAAGCCCCGGGCUCAACCUGGGAACGGCAUCCGGAACUGUCAAGCUAGAGUGCAGGAGAGGAAGGUAGAAUUCCCGGUGUAGCGGUGAAAUGCGUAGAGAUCGGGAGGAAUACCAGUGGCGAAGGCGGCCUUCUGGACUGACACUGACACUGAGGUGCGAAAGCGUGGGUAGCAAACAGGAUUAGAUACCCUGGUAGUC
rnacentral:rRNA from 1 species